rnacentral:rRNA from 1 species
CCUACGGGUGGCAGCAGUGAGGAAUAUUGGUCAAUGGGCGGGAGCCUGAACCAGCCAAGUCGCGUGAGGGAAGACGGUCCUAUGGAUUGUAAACCUCUUUAGGCGGGGAGCAAUGCCGGGCACGCGUGCCCGGAGGGAGAGUACCCGCAGAAUAAGCAUCGGCUAACUCCGUGCCUGCAGCCGCGGUAAUACGGGGGAUGCGAGCGUUAUCCGGAUUUAUUGGGUUUAAAGGGUGCGUAGGCGGAUGUUUAAGUCAGCGGGAAAAUGUCGGGGCUCAACCCGGGCCGGCCGUUGAAACUGGGGAGCUGGAGUGGGCGAGAGGUAUGCGGAAUGCGUGGUGUAGCGGUGAAAUGCGUAGAUAUCACGAAGAACUCCGGUUGCGAAGGCAGCAUACCGGCGCCCGACUGACGCUGAGGCACGAAAGCGUGGGGAUCAAACAGGAUUAGAUACCCGAGUAGUC